CCAGGUAGUGUAAUUUUGCCAUUCGUCCAGAUGAGGGCAACGCGUUGAGAGACGAGGCAGCUAAGCGCUCCAGCAGUGACUGAGAUGGAAAACAAACAGGAGGAAGGGAGAUUACAGAAUGGAUGACGCUGAGAGGCCUGCCACCAUGCCGUACCUGUCAAAGCCUGUCACAAAAAUCUCUCUGCCCUGCGGGUGCUGCGCAGGGUACAGCUGCAUGGAGACGGUGGCAGGGGGGGUGCAUGCUGCAGUGUAGCUCUCUGUGUGGGUGUCAAGGUAACCUUUGACCUCCAGUGACCCGCUGACCAGCAGCCAAUCCGGCCAUCCAACUGGGAGCGAGGUGACGGCCCAGAGGGCACAAGGAUCAUGAAACUCACUCACCACCUAAACGACCGUGUAAACAUUCAAAUCAAGUGGGAGAAAGAAAAACACCAAACUUGUGGGCAGAUAUUUUCCUCAACAGUUGUGAUAUAUUGCCUUUUGUUUUCCAUUUGCAUUUUUUCCUCCCCUCUUGCUCCUCUUUGCCUCCUUAUCAGUUGUCAAGUUUAAUUGCACUCUCCUGUUCAAAACCACUGUGAUUCCUUCCUUAACACGUCUCCUCGUUCUGGCCUCUCUAUUUCUGUCAUCGCAGUAUUUUUAGCUCAGCUUUAUUGCUGCAUCUCAAUCGCUCAUCUUCUCUGGCGUCCAUAUGAUAUUUGUCUCAACACU